GGGUUAGGGCGAAAGCGUUAGGUAGGGUGAAGCUGGGUAACUCCCAGAGGAGCGACGCCGCCGAGCUUCGGAGAGAGGUGAAGAGAGAGAGAGAGAGGGAGAGAGAGGGAGUUAUAUAGAGCGGAAAAAAGACGGCCGUAUAAACGCCGGGAGAAAAGGGAGGGAGAACCGUCGAGACGGCGGCCAUCAUGGGAUGCUGCGGGAAAAUGCAGAGCGAUGAAAGCGACCGACUAUGGCGUCUCUUACCGAGGAGAUAAGGAGGAACCGAGAGCAGCGUGAGCUCCGCUCUAGACGUAGGUAUGCCAGCACGGAGCUACAUAGCUACGGCUAAAAACUCUACUCAUGAGAUUAACGUAGAGAAUUAUUACGCCGUCGUAUAUAGUUGCAGUGGAAUCAUAUUAAUAAGUCACCGCAGCGCUAGUAAUAUAAGUCUGAAAAACGAUAUAUAUUGGGUACGUGCAGUGCUUUUCUCUCGCCAUCGCCGCGGACUAUACGUGAAAGGAUCAAAGUUUUGGUUGGAAAGAAUGAGAUCGGCAUCCCGGGUGCACCGAAAACAAACGAGGAGAUAAACGGAAAAGCGUCGUUAGCGAGACUCCGAGAACGAUGACAACUCAUUCGACGAAUUUAGUAGCGGCUCUAAUACCAUCGCCGCUACAACUGUAUACAUAUACUGUACAUCCUACUACAACUUGAAGCAGGGGCCGUGAUCUCAAACUGGGCGUGGGCGUCUCUCGGAACGUCGCAUCGGGGAAUGCUGCCGCUGAUACAGAGAGAAUUUUCCUCCUGGCAGCCCGGAUCUCGUUUCUCUUACAAGCGGAGAGAAUAAAAGGGCGAACCACUCUGGUAGCUGGCUCGUAGAAUUAUAUAAAUGCCCAUGGUAUUUGCCAACCACGCCUCAAAAAGUCGUUGCCGUCUAUCUCCGAAUUCCUUCUAUUGGAGUAACUUUUAUCGUGGGCCACCUUGUUACAUAUCGCAUCUGUUGCGAUUAUUCGAGUAGCGAAAAAAAAAGAAAAAAAA
rnacentral:misc_RNA from 1 species